rnacentral:SRP_RNA from 1 species
CCGUGCUAGAUGGGGAGCUAGCGGUGCCCUGUAACCCGAAAGCCGCUUUAGCGGGGUCGAAUUCCCUCUCAGAGGAUCGCAGCGUCGCGCGGCAACUGUAACAAAGGCGGGGGAUUGGACUCCACGCAACGGACGCUUGUGAACCCCGUCAGGUCCGGGAGGAAGCAGCGGUAAGCAAGGCGGUGCGUGUCGUGGCAGCUUCUAAUCCGAUACCCCUUUGGAGCAAAGGGGUGGCGG